rnacentral:snRNA from 1 species
AUACAUAUCUCCUCCUAUCAGAAAAUCAUCUGCUAAUAUCCAUUUUUAUCAGUUUAAUAUCUGAUAUGUCCUUUUUGAGGACUGUAUAUUAAAUUGAUUUUUGAAACGGGGGAUGGAAUAGGAGCUUGCUCUGUCCACCCCAUGCAUCGACCUGGUAUUGCAGUGUUCCCAGGAAUGGGAGGGGGGAAA